rnacentral:rRNA from 1 species
CCUACGGGAGGCAGCAGUGAGGAAUAUUGGUCAAUGGGCGUAAUCCUGAACCAGCCAAGUCGCGUGAGGGACGAAGGCUCUACGGAUUGUACACCUCUUUUAUAAGGGAAUAAAAUGCUCUACGUGUCCCGUUUUGUAUGUACCGUAUGAAUAAGGAUCGGCUAACUCCGUGCCAGCAGCCGCGGUAAUACGGAGGAUCCGAGCGUUAUCCGGAUUUAUUGGGUUUAAAGGGUGCGUAGGCGGCCUUUUAAGUGAGCGAUGAAAUUCCGUGGCUCAACCAUAGGGUUGCCGCUGAUACUGGAAGACUAGAGAAUGUAUGCGGCAGGCGGAAUGUGUAGUGUAGCGGUGAAAUGCUUAGAUAUGACACAGAACACCGAUUGCGAAGGCAGCCUGCCAGGCCAGGACUGACACUGAUGCACGAAAGCGUGGGGAUCGAACAGGAUUAGAUACCCUUGUAGUC